UCCUACGGGAGGCAGCAGUGGGGAAUCUUGCACAAUGGAGGAAACUCUGAUGCAGCGAUGCCGCGUGAGUGAAGAAGGCCCUUGGGUUGUAAAGCUCUUUUGUCGGGAAAGAUAAUGACUGUACCCGAAGAAUAAGGUCCGGCUAACUUCGUGCCAGCAGCCGCGGUAAUACGAAGGGACCUAGCGUAAUUCGGAAUUACUGGGCGUAAAGCGCGCGUAGGCGGUUAAGUAAGUUAAUUGUGAAAGCCCAAAGCUCAACUUUGGAAUUGCAAUUAAAACUACUUAGCUAGAGUUUAUCAGAGGAAAGCGGAAUACAUAGUGUAGAGGUGAAAUUCGUAGAUAUUAUGUAGAACACCAGUUGCGAAGGCGGCUUUCUGGGAUAACACUGACGCUGAGGUGCGAAAGUAUGGGUAGCGAAGAGGAUUAGAUACCCUCGUAGUCCAUACCGUAAACGAUGAUUGUUAGAUGUUGGAAAUUUAUUUUCAGUAUCACAGCUAACGCGUGAAACAAUCCGCCUGGGGAGUACGACCGCAAGGUUAAAACUCAAAUGAAUUGACGG
rnacentral:rRNA from 1 species